UUGAAACUAGUGUACUAGAAUCUUGGAGAGGCGGGUGGAAUUCCGAGUGUAGAGGUGAAAUUCGUAGAUAUUCGGAAGAACACCAGUGGCGAAGGCGGCCCGCUGGACAAGUAUUGACGCUGAGGUGCGAAAGCGUGGGGAGCAAACAGGAUUAGAUACCGUGGUAGUCCACGCCGUAAACGAUGAUAACUAGCUGUCCGGGCACAUGGUGCUUGGGUGGCGCAGCUAACGCAUUAAGUUAUCCGCCUGGGGA
rnacentral:rRNA from 1 species